rnacentral:lncRNA from 1 species
GGGCCUGGACUUGAUACUUCACCUUGCCUUGAAAGCGCUCUGCUUCUCUUGAUCAACUUUCCACUUCUUGAAUAAUACUUUCCCAAUCGGGAAGACAAACUACAUUGCCAAACUAUACUUGAAGUUCCAAUCCUUUACUUGCAUAAGAUCUUUCUUCGAAUCAAGUUUUAGGCAUCUUAUCUUCUCUGGUAUACUUUCUCCUCGCACUCCACCGGUGGGCUGGGGCCAAAUAAAGACUUUUGACCCGGUCUUUCAUCAGCGAAAGCUUCCUUUCCUCUCUCCGGGCAGUGAGAUCUCGAGUGGGCAUUUCUAGGUUUCUUCGCUUCCAAAGCUUGCACUGGAUAAGGCAAAAGAAGAAGUUGAUUCCAUCCUGCACGGAACACUAUUCAAAUCAAUAUUUUAGAUAUCUCCAUGUUGGAAAAGAAAGCUAUCUGAGAGGCAGAGGUUUACUAUCAACUUCGCUUCAAAUGGCCGAAACUCACAAAUAGGUGGAAAACCCGCGGAAGCUGGUUGUACUUGUCAGUUCGUUCAAUUCACACAGUUCGCAAGCAAGGAGUUUCUUUCACGGAGCUAGCUCUCUUCCAGUGUGGAACUAGAACCAGCCUCGAAUCUCUUAAUCUUACGAACAUAUUCUCUUUUGGCUCCAUUUUAGCUUAAUCAAAAAGAAAUAUAAGCAGAUGAGAAACUCCAUUUACGGAAAAUCUGGUACGAGACUGUGAGAGUUGUAGUUCUUCCUGUGGGGCUGGGUCUUUAAUAAGUCUACUAUAUGGACUAUGUCUUUUAUGGGUAUCUAAUCCCGCAAUGGAAGUUUCCGUUUCUUCUACCUUCCGUUUCUUCUACCAUUAAUACUAGUUUGAGGAGUCUCCCUGUAACACCAUUAUGGUUGGCAGCAUCAAGAAAAGGGCGGUUUUGUUGACUGCGAGGUUUCGACCUUGAUUAUCCGCACUUCCCAGGUUGAGCUGGUCACCGGGAAGCUAACCACCAAAUUGCUCCUCUGUGUUUCGGUCUACAAAAGUUCCCGAUGUGGAGCGAACUCUUACCGGGGCCAGGGAAGAUGGAUCUUCAUCGACGCCUCUCGUUCCUUUUGUGGUCGCUCACUGCUAUCCCCUAUUGAAAACUGCUAAAGCUCCCCAGCAUCUAUAGAUUGAAAGUAAGCCAGCCCCUAUAGACGGCGCCGUAAGCAAGGCAGACUUUACAAAGUAGGCCGUGUCGAGUUAGAUUCCCCUUUCUAUUUCUCGUCUACAUAUGGAAGAUACAUAUCAGAUUAUAGAUGUUAGGGAAUGGGAAGAUACGGAUCAGAUUAUAGAUGUUAGGGAAUGGCCGGUUGGAGGGCAAGGCUCAUUGAAGUUCCUAUUCCUAGACCGCGCCGAUGACUUUAUUUGACUUUCGCUUUGCUUACAGAUUACUUGACUUUUGCUUUGCUUCCUUAGGAUCUCAUUGCUUUACCCCGGACCAAUGAUUUGAACUCGAGUACAAAAUGCCCUAUUGAGAAUUCUCAUUUCGUUCCAGGAUCGGCAGCAGUUCUUGCUUGCUUCCUGAGCCUAUACGAACUCCCUGGGGCUGGGCUGAUAAGAAAGCUUAGAAUUGGAUUGGAACAUUUCCUUCGAGGGCACUCAUAACUAAAGUAAAGUACUGUCUCGCGAACUGCCAGAAUUCGGUUUUCCCUAGUGGAUUCACCAGUCUUGCGGACUCCCUUCAGCUUACUUACGAUCGAAAUAGAACCAUUUGGAUUUCUCUGAGCUAUACGAAAGAACGAGAAAGCUUGAUUAGCUCCUUAAGUAGAAAAGAAAGAGAAUAGCUGGCAGUGCACCUUUUCCUUCGGUCAGCAUACUCCAAGGUGAGUAACAAAUAGUCAUUCCAAACCAACCUCCAUUGUUAUAGCUUUGAAGCCUAUAGCUCUAGUAGCAGUACCAUACCUUCCAAUUACGUCAAAAGUCUCUGUCUCGUCUUUCUUGCUCUUCGCCAACCCCCUUUCCUUCUUACCAAGCUUAGAAUGAUCAUUUUAGAGAUAUUGAAUACCUUAUGGACUUGGAAACUCAAACUAGCAACGAAGCUAAACCUGACUCGACCAGUCUACAACUUCUAAAGGGUAGCGUAGAUCUUUCUUGAAAUCAUUCCGAAGUCGCAGGGUGGUAAGAUCCUUGCCGCGAAUCGAAGUUAUUCAUUUCAUUCGCUACAGGAGCCCCCACUAUUACUAUUCCAGCCGAAAACAGGAUUGAAUCGAAUACGGAAAAAGGUAAUGGGGCUAUAACCCAUAGGGCACCGGACUUAGGUAUGAAAUUAAGGACGAGUUUCACUCGCUUCGGGCUACACAAAAAGAACGAAAAUCGUGUGCGAUCCUCAGCCUGAAACUUCGAAUAGAUAGAGUUUGAGUACGUAGUGAGAGUCAAGGUCAAGGUUUAUUGAUGAGUUCAGUGGACAGAACGCUCGAUGUGAGGCCUAGGUCAAGGCAGGAAGUUCAAGUGUGACCCGUAGUUUUGGUGGCGGGGGUUUGGUUCAGCGUCCGAUUCGACAAUGAACACUAAAUGAAAGAGCAACAAUCAAAGAAGUUUCUCACUUGCCGGAGAUUGAUUGGAGACUUCAGAAGAGAUAUUCCAAUUCAUAACGGAAAGUAUAGGUCGAGUUUGCAGUAGGUCCUCCUUCUCUAAAGAAUAUAAUUCCAGGGCGUGAAGCUUAGAUCGCAUUUGAUUUCCCUUACUCCUAUUAAUAGUGAAAUUGAGCCUCCUUCGGACCCUAACCUAAAUAGUCAUCUUACUAGCUCACGGAACUAAUCAUAUCAGAGUAAGCAAGUUCACUCAAAAGAGAGUAAUGCUUAUAGGAGGUCUAUCUCCCUUCUGUCAUGCCCUUUUCUUUUCUCACUGACAGCCCUUUCCUUGCUGCUUCGCGCUAAAGCAAUUGUAGCAAGUAGGAGAAGGCGACGGCAUUCUAUGUGUGGACCGGAAUAGGCUCAAUGACUUUGCCUGCUUUCUUGCUUGCCCCGCUCCCCUUAGAAGCGGGCGCUGGACUCUAUCUCCGUUGAUUACUAUUGGAUUGAGCUAUAUAAGCGACCUACGUGAACACUUCAGCUAAAAAGAAAGUAUGGAAUUCUCAAUACAUUCUAUUGACAUUGAAAGGCAAGAAGGAGUGUUCAAGCUAAAGACUGGAAAGACAUGUUGUCAUAUUCGAAAUAAUAAGAAACGUUCGUUCCCAGCCUGAUGCAUUCUACGCCAGAUCUCUCGAUCAUUGCUACCAAUAGAUGAUCUAGUUACACAAAGCCUUGAACCUAGGGAAACCACCUUGGGAACUUUGCCCUAUCACAGAGCCAUAGGUAUCCCUGAGAGAAAGAAUCAAACGUGGAAUGGUCCGAAUGAACUUCCCAUGUAGUAAAUCUGACUCGCUAGCUGCACAAUGGCACUACACCAACUCUCAAAGGGAGACUUCAGAUUCCAAUUCCGUAGUUAACCUUUGCUUCUUCUACUGCUACCGGACAUUCCAGUAUCUAUCUAUCAGUCCCGCUACUCCUUUUUCCGCCUAGCCAGUAUUGUCUGUCUUUUACUCUCUCUUUUCUUUAUGAAAUACCAGAUUCUAUUCUCUAAUAAUAAUAGUCAUAAGCCCUCCUAUUUGGAUCAAUAAUAGAAGAAGAACCCUACCUACUAUAUAUUAUUGCUUGUAUUAAUCGAAAAAGAACAACCAGCUACGAAACUAGCUUUCGACGGAAUCGAACUAUGGAUAACAAGAGUGCAACCACUACAUAUCAGAAUGGAACAAGAGCAUAUGAGACUGUCCUGCCUAGCUCCUAUUUGGACUUUACAGCUUAUCGACCCUACAGUGCUUACUUUUAUUCCCGCUUGUAAACUACUUAUUUUCAUUCUAUCUUUUCUUUACAUUUCUUAUAGGCGUAAAGUAAAACAUAGGUUCUAAUAUAAAUAGAAUAGAAUUAUGAUUUGCCUAACCUCUCUCUUGAAACUAACUAACCUAUUCUCUUAGGGGCCGGCCGAUCUAUCUCUUUCAUCGACAACUCUUUCAUCGCCAACACAAACUGCCAACCCGAUCUCUCCUAUGCAACCUCAUUCCUUAUUUCCUUACUGAAACUCUUGUGCUGCUGAGUGAGUUCGAUCCUUGUGUUGCCUUGAGUUAGGGCCUUACUCUCCUGUGUCUCUUUCUGCCACUCCCUUCUCUCGGUCCGGCACUGCUUUAUAUCAAUCCAAAAAGUCACUUCUACUGUGUAGCGGUAGCUUCUUUAACCCGCCUAUUAUUCUGACUAUCCUAGCUUGGAGGCUUAGUUACAGCCAUGCCUCUCCUUACUGCUAUUAUUUAUGACUAUUUCUUAUCGAUGACUAUUUUCAAACAAAAGGGACAGUCCCAAGCUCAAAGUAUAGAAUAGAGUAAAGAAGGUCAGCUCCGAGUGAAGCAGUGAAAGCCCUAGUUCUUAGUUCAGUCUGAUCGGUAUUAGUUUCAUAGUAGUGGAUAGGGUCGUUGUUCUCGUUUGAUUACCUAUAUUGAGUGAAACACCAGUUCUAUUCUCAUUGUAUUAGCGAUAUCAAUUGCUCCUGUGGGUCUGAUCGGUGUGAGUUGAUCCGGUGUUGCUAGCUUAGUUCUUUAGCUCAUAGUUUCAUUACUGGUUUCCGGAUUCAAUAUUCAUUUGCUUAUACCGAUUCCUGGGUGGAGUAUGCCUACUCUGCUAACAGUAGUAAAACUUAUAGAUAUUAGUUGCUGCCUUAGAAGCGCUGGCCCCAAUUCCCUAUUGGAAGAUAAGGAUGGGAAGCCCUAGUUCGAGAAUGAGAUAAAGCAAUAAGGGACUCAAAGCAAAUGGGUAAAGACUAGGUUCCAAGCAAAGAUCUUAGGUAUGAUUCCCAGUUGCUAGUUCAAAUUCCUAUUAUCAGCUUAAUGUUGAGAAGCAGUACCUUGUUCCUGUGAUCCACCCUAUAUCUGGUUGUUGCCUUAGAGUGAGCUGUAUCAUUCCGUUUCUCCUGUUCGAGUAUUAUCAAUAGUGGUGCAAGCCCGCUUGUCACUCGCGCAAUUCUUUAUUGCCUAAGUGAAAAGAAAGAUAGAAAAGCACCAGUCAUAGUCAUAAUGGAAGUAAGUAGUAUUUGUUUAGAUUCCCUUUAUCGAGUUAAAGCCUGGUUUCCUCGUUUCGGUGUUGUUAAUUGUUAUUGAAUCAAGUUUGUGGCCCCUAACGGUAAUUAUUCUCCAGGAGGGAAAGUCAGCAUUGUCCUAGGAUUUCCCUCACUGGCCUCGAACCUUGCACUACUGACCUUGAAGCUUUGUUUUCGCUCUUAAGCUCCUGCCGAUAAGUCCGCUCCUCUUGACACUUUACUAUUUCACUAUGUAUUAGGAUCUCGUUUUCAACUAAAACUGGUAGGGCUAACAAGACCUAUACCCUUCAUAUAAGUAUUAGGAUCCUGACUUUUGAGUUUAAGCGUGGGGGUGGUUGUGUACUAUUCUAGUCCUUUCUUAUACUUUGGAGGGCAAUUCCUUCUUAUUAGACUCAUUCUUUGACUUCUGCCAACUAAUUCUUUUCCUUAUGGGUUCAAUUCUGCCUAUUGAUCUUAACGGUCUGGUCCGAACGGUCUUUUAGUGGAAACCUGUAUUAUUACUUGCAUUCGGAUUCCUCCCGCGAGAGAUAUAAGCCUUGUUAGCUGUGGAUAAAGCUUGAAGCGAGUAAGGCAAGACUCAAGGGAAGCAUAGUGAGGCGCAUAGGCAGUGAAGCGAGACUCGGAAGCUAAUAAGUAAAGCUUGUCGUAUGGACCUGGUAAUUAGAUGAAACCAAGAGCAUAGUACCUGGGUGCUGGAUUCCGUAUUGCGACUUUGAGACUUAUACAGCGGAGUGGGACCCUAGAGUUGAGCUAACGAGUAAUGCGCUUGUACUACUACUGAUGGAUUUAGUUCUUAUACAAAUAAGUUGAAAUACAAAAUGCAAGAUAGGAAGCACGAGACUAAACUCUAACCCUUGCUUCACUGUAUCUAAGGCUACUGAAACCACUGCGGAUAGGACUGGAGGUGAAACUGGAAUUCCCUUAUUACUGAGAAGAAUCUACCUAUUGGGCGCGUAUUUACACUAGUGUUUUUUUAGAAUCCAACUUGGUAGUAGUAGAACCAAACGACCAAGUGGGAAUUGCACUUAGUGGUAUAGGGCUGGAAACUAGUCAUUCAACUUGAAAGUAGGAAUCAAAUCAAUAACAAUAAGACUAAUAAUAUAAUAAUAGCAACAAGAAGAAAAGGUAGUAGACCAAUCGACAGGGUAGUAAGCCUGUUUGCCACCUGUUUAGUUCCCGGGUUCCUGACUUAAUGUAAUGAUUAGAAGCAAUAGUUGGCGGGUUCUUAACUCAAAGGCGGUAAUGCAAACUAUUCACUAUAAUGCCGAAAUCACAAAUCGAGCCUUCUACUGCUUACUUGAAAACGGAAACCUAAAGCAGCCCCAGCUUUGUAUAGCUUGAAACUACCUCUCCUUUGUCCAACUCAACUCUCAUUAAUCUGACUUGACUUGCUUCUAGCCUUGAUUGCUUAACUCCGAAGCUGAUGAUGUUGCCGCAUAGUCCGAGCCUUACUACCCGGGGGUUGUAACCUGACUAUCCAUAUUGGUAUUCCAGGCCCUACUUACUAGUUAUAGUAUACCAUUCGUUAGCUUCGUUCUGAAACUCCAUACCUGCAUUCUGGAUUUCCACCUGUUAGCCAGCCAUUACCGGAUCUCAUAUCUGUAUUUGUACCUAGCGCUACUGACCUAAACUCUUAUGUAUCAAUUGUUAGGCCUUCCUUACUAAACUCACUACUGUAGUUCACCCAUGAUCCUGACUUAUUCUGCAAGUGCUCUUAUACACCUAUCCCCUAUUAGUUUACUUCCGACUUAUAAGGUGAAAUCUGAUACUGCGCGCUACAGGACCAUAUUCUUCUAUGACUUAGGGUUAGGUUGAUUCUAUGUCUUCUACUCGUUCGUUUGGUUCUAUGUUCUACUACACAUAUCCCGUACGGGUCCAUUUCAUUAUAAUAAGCACUGGUUCCAUUCUCCAAUAAUAAGUAAGUCAAUUCUGUGUUUCGCCUUAUUUCUUAUUUGAUUCCCUCUAAUAGUAGUUCUAUUUUGUUGAUAGUCGUUAUUAGGUUCAGAAGGCAGUGUUAAAGCCUUAGUUAGAAAUUCCAGUAUAUCAGGUAGUGCGGCAGUUUUCAACUAAGUAGUGCCAGAGUGAAGCGAACACGGGUAAGGGCGGUUGCUACUUAGUUCAAUUACUUAUUACGUGCUUGAUUCCCUUAGGAAGCCAAGUAAGUCUGAUAUUGGCAAUAAGGAAAGAAAGAAGGAAAUAGAGUAUUGCUAGUAUAGAAACCAGUAUACUAUUUUCAUAGACUAUAUUACUAUGGCUGGAAAGAUGGAAUUCGAAUCUCACUUUGUAGAGUAGAGUAGCAGGUCAGAUUCAUAACUUCUAUACUCAAGAUCGAGUGGGAAUGAAAAGAAAAUCAGUAAAGUAUCGAAUAUUGAUAUUGACGGAACCCCCUACUUAACUAUAUUAUUGAUUGCUUGUAGUAAAGGAGCUCCACUCUUUUAUUCAUAGAAGAAUCCCAGGUGUCAUAGCAAAACAUACCCACUAAGGUGUCAGUCAUAGCAAAACAUACCCACUAAGGUGUCAUAGCAAAACAACCCUACUAUAUUACUCUGGACAUACUCAUUCUCUUAUUUGACUGAGAAAAGAAAGAUUCGAAUGUGGUACUAGCAGCCUCACUUUCCUUACAAUAAUAUCGAGUAGGUUUGUUCUUCUUUCUACUUAUACAAGAUAGUCAGGAGAGUCGUUCUUCUAUUGAUACAAUGGGACUAGUACAAUUAUUAUAAGAGAAUAGAUAGCUAGGUAACUGUAUAUUAUGAUAAGAGAAUAGGUAGAACUACUAUAAGAAUGCUACUAAAGAAAUGGGUUUAUUGGUGGGAAAUACAUCAGAUAGGAGAACCUAAAGUCAGGAAACUGAGAAAAGGGAUAUGCUGCCUAGACCGAGGGAAGGAGAAUAAGAGGCACAAGAGAUUUAGUAUGAGCUAUCAGGGGUAGAAGAGAAGACUUCUUUUUUCAUUAUAGUAAGAGGAUAGUGCAUCUAGUAGUAGACUCCAUAGUAGUUAGCAGUAAGAGGAUAGCGCAUCCAGAAUAUAAGUAAUACCAAUCAGAAUACCACUAAUAGGCAAUAGAACAAAACUCUGUAUUAUAAGAAUUUAGGUACGAUCUAGCACAGUAGGGGACUUAGUCUCUAUUACUACUUCCAAUCCUUGCUGCUGCUCUCGUAGUGGCCUCUUUCAUUCCCAGUCUCGCUUUUGCUAGUUAAGUCCUCAUAGGCAUUAGAGACAUUCUCUUAUUCUUAUAGUUAUUAAAAGAAGAGUGAAAGUAAACAGUAUAAUACUCAAAAGCAUAAGCAGGGUUCGAGGUCGAGUAAACUAUAUCAUAGGGAUGAUAGGCAGGAUAGGGAAUAAUGUGAAUAAGAUAGCAGAGUGAAAGGUAUGAGUAAGGUUCGGCUACUAUCAGUUCAUUCUGAUUAGUGGUGGUGGACUUAUGACUUAUUGAGUGCAAUUCCGAGUUCCCAUUCCAGUUCCCAUUCCGAUGUAUCUUACUAAUGAGUUAGACUCCCUUGACUCCCUUUACCGCAACUCGGAUAAGCCAUACCCAAAUACGCUAUGUGGAAUAAAUAGCCUAUUAUCUCUAUUAUCAGCUUCAGUCUUAUAAGCACUAGUCCCUUUUCAAUACAAACAGACAAGACGAGCAAUACAAUAUGAAAGAGGCAAUUAAGAUACUUUAGUUGGAAACAAAGAGUCAAAGCGAGGGAAGUCAGAAUGAGAUAGAGCAACGGGGAACUUCAAGCCGGUAGUUUUUGUUUGAAUCAAAAGAGAAGGCUUUUAUGGCUGAUACUUGAAUGGGUGCAAGCAUAUGCUUUUGAAUAAGCAAGCCCAUUAUGCGGGGGAGCAGCUCAGUCUAAGUUAAGUCGAAGGGCCUAUCUACAUUUUCUUUCUGUAUUUGGAUGGCCUCUCGAAUUGCCUCAGGAUACGUUAUAGCUAUUGGUAUCGAGCUCCCGAAAGCAAUCUAAAAGGUAAUGGCCUGGCCCCUAACCUCAAUAUCAUAGUCAAGUCGCUUUCGAAGCCAAAGAAGGAGUCUAAAAGAGAGAUUGCGCUUAUCUUAUAUCUUAUAUUAUCAUAUUAAUUGUAUGUCCUACUUUUCUGUCUUGUAUCUAUUUAGAGCUAUGAGUAACAACAAUGUUAACCAACUCUCCCAAUCUUGUUUAUAUAUCGAUAUCGACAUUGAAUAUAGAAUUUCUUGUUGUUCGUUAGAAUCGAUUACUAUUUGUUGUUUUCUCCGGCGUUACUCGUAAUGCUAUGUUAGCUUAGGAUGAUCCUUCUUGUUACUCGUAAUGCUAUGUUAGCUUAGGAUGUCAAGGUAUCACAAUAUUCAUGAUAAGCCCAUGUUGUAGACCAAGUUCAGAUCGACCAAGCGGGAGUGAUGAAUGAAUCAAUCAAUGAGUUCGAAAUGCAUGUAUUAUAAGCAUAUUUUCAUCGAUCUAGUUGUGAGCCCGAGAUAGACGCCCUCUGCUUUGGGUCCGCCCUUCCUUACUCGAGGUCUGGCUUUCGUACUGUCUUAGGUAAUCCGGCUUGACUUCCUUUAUCCCCUGGCUCUUAGCCCGCCAUCCUUGACUCCUAUUCUUCUACUUGCUCCUUAGAGUCUUGCUUUAUGGGGAGCUAGAAUACACCCCAGUAGGCGAGGGCUAGUGCAUCUAUUACGAAAAUACUAGUAUAUUUGCGCAAGAUUAUAGAAUAUUAGUAGCAAUCAUAAGAAAGGGACGGGUAACAAACAGACUAGAGAGACCGCUUCUAAUACUAAACUCCAAUCUGAUCCCCGCCCAGACACUCUUGACCUAAUGUCCUACUUUCUGGCUUUUGAGUUGGGUGUGUUCGCCUUUCGCUCCCGAUCUGACAUCUGUAUUUGUUUCACCAAACAGACAGACAAGACCUUGAACUACCAUAAGAAUUGAGGGCAGGAGCUGAAAGCGAAGUCGGGUAGUUUGUUUGAUAGCAAGGAAUAGCGUACUUAGAGAUAGGAGUGGAAGGCUUCACUUUAUAUAGCCAAGAUAAGGCGUGUCGCCACUAGUUAGCUCUGAUACCAAAGAGGGUUCCAUUCAGUUUCGUUGGGGAGUGGGGGACUCUUUAGUGUGAUUCUUUAUUACGCCCUAGUGUAUUAGUAUCCGUAGCUCGGUAUCCUCCCUUUAUAGUUGAAUCCCUUCCCUAGGAGAGGGAGUGUGGAAUAUAAGAAUCCUACUAUAAAAGAGAAGAAAGUCAGUCCAAGAUCGAGGAGUCACAGAAUUAGAUAGCAGAUUAGGUGCCCCAGUGUUGGAUCCUUAGAAACAGCAGUGAGCAGUGAAAGCCCUAUUAGGCAGUAUCGGAUUCUUUCUAUUAGUAUUUAUAGCCUAUGGUGUCAGUGUUCGAUUCCCGUUAGCCCUUGUUUCAAUCUGAUAAGGUGCGCAGCUGCAGUGGAAUUACCUUUUCCUGUAAGAAAGUGGAAUAGCGCGGGUAGCUCUGCUGAAUCAAAGAAAGGGAUGUCAAGCGGAAGGGCAGGUAGUUUGAAAUAGGCAAGUUAGGAUCCGUACCGAGAGUUCGAGAAUCAAAAGCACUAGGUUGAGUUAAAGCCGGUAGAGCCAGGUCGAAGCUCCCCAGUUAGAGAAUCCAAAUAAGUAGCACAAUUCUUUGACUAUGAUAGCAGGUCUAACAAUUUCAUUAAAUAAGAAAAGUCAGGGAGCAUAGACUAAUAGGUGUGAGAAAGCAAGGGCUGCUUUAGGUGGGUAAGGGAAGGGACAAGUACCGAUACAAGAAUGACAUCGAGGAAACUUCUACUUAAAGCAAGAUUCGGGGUCGGUAGGGGGGAAGCAAGAUUUCGAUUUAGAUCAAGAGAAGGCAGAGUUAUAAGUUCAUAGAUAAAGGCUGGGGCUGCCCACACUAGUGCUAUUAUUUCCUUGGAGUUUGAUUAACUAAGGGAGGAGUUUCAGAGCGAGCCCAAGAAAUGGAUACAGUAGUGCCAGGCCUGUCUUAUUCUUAAGAAAGGGAUGCUGUAUCUUUCCAAAAUCCUAUACCAAGUGUCAAAUCUUCUCCUCCAAUCAUCUCUUCUGAAUAAGCACAACAGAAGAAUGUGUUUAAAGAAGCAAUCUAGCUAGUUAAGUAGGCAAGGCAAAAGGGAAAGUUUCUGAAUGAUUUGUUGAGUGUGUGGCGGAACAAGUCUAUUUAUUGCUAGAAAAUAUGCAUUUCAAGAGAGCCUGGAGGGGGACAAGAUAGGAGAGAGAGGCCAUAAAGUCAUACUGAUAGGUCGUUUCGGGUGCCUGAUUGAAGUCUUGUUCCAGUCCAGAUUCUUGGCAAAAAUGAACUAUAACAUCACUUAUUGAGUUGGAUGGUCAAUCACAUGAAAAACAUCUCCUUAUUCGAAAUAAUGGCUUUUCCAGUAGAUCAAUUAUGGUCUAAAGUCUCUAGAGAAGAGAACAGCUGGAGGUGUAGUUGCCCUAGGUAAGAGAGGAGAUAGGUUCGGGAGACAAUAAGAAAGGAGUUGACUUACUUGCUUGUUAGGGUGUGCCGGGUAGUUGUUUCAUGAAGUUACUAUACCACCGAUUCCCCAAUGGAACUCACCGAUUCCCUGAGUGACUAGUUAAGUCUAGUUCCCUUGCCUAGCUAGAGGUAUAGUAGAGUAGUUAAGAGCAAUAACUGGAUUAGUUGACCCAGGAAAAGAGGGAGCCAGGUAGUGAACUAAAGAAUAGAGUAGACUUCAGAAUCCAAUAGCAUGGGAUGAAGAAAAUGAGAAGAAAUGCUCAAAACAAUCAAAUGAAUCAAUUUAUCAAAUCAAAAAUAAAUAAGAAAAGUCGACAUCUUCUAGCUCUACUUACACUGUAUAGGAAACAUAGGAUCACUUAAUAUAGGAUGAUGUUUAGAAAGAAAGGAGACCGGAAAGCACUUGGUGUUAACUCUCACUCUCACAGGAACAGGAUAUUCUCCACUACUUCAGAAUACAUAUUUGUUGGCUACGAGUCCGGUUAGUAUGAAUUCUGAAAUAGAUUCUCUUCGGCUUCAUAUCCCUUGGAAUCUACAGCUUAUAGUAAAGGCUCUGCUCUACCAGGUCCUGUGUUCGGGUUUUCUUUAACAGCGUCGGUAAAGUGGAAAAGGAGUAUCUCGUUCUUUCUUGCCCUACAACUCUCCUACUAUAAUUGCUCCUAUAAAGUGAAAGUCCUGUUAGUUUUGAAGCAAAAGAAAGGGAUGGUGUGUCUUUCAUAUAUAUAUGAGUAAAGAAUAGGCUCAAGUCUGUUUAGAAGCGGUUCUUCCAGUGGAGGUAGGCAAAAGGGAUGUAUUUAUUGCGCCUAGUAUAUAUAGAAUUCCGGCCCCACUCCUAUAACUUCGAGUUCAAAGUUGGAGUCCGAUGUUUUCAUAUAAUAACAAACUAGUCCGUAUUUUCGGAAUCUGUCUCUGUUGUCGACUCUAAAGAUAGUGUUCAAGCCGUUGAGGAAGCAGUUCUCAAGUCGGAUGUUGGCGCAUAAGAAUUGCUAGUUCCAGUUCCUGUUUCAGAAGUGGUUCGAGAAUCGACAGUAGAAUCAACAGUGAAUCGGUAUCAAGGAAGUCUUUAUUAUAAGUGCAGCAGCGAGAUCUUAAAGUGGAGUUCGGGCAAGAGAGGAAGGAGAGUUCGGGCUAGAGAGUUCGGUGCUCUAGUUGAAUACAAGUAGUAGUCCUAUAGAAUCUCAAGUAGGAGUCCUGUUCGAGGUAAGUUAGAGUCUAGGUAUGCAAGGUAUAAUCCAACAGAGGUAGGCCAAGUAGUGCUUCAGAAGAAUAAAGUGAAGUACUGGCUUUGAAGCAAGCUUGAGUGGAAGUAGGCAAGAUAGUGUAGGCAAAGAAAUAGAACCUUUUCCAUCAAUAAGAGAGUAACCAUAGCUUCUUUUGAACCCAAUUACGCUAAGCAAAUAGAAGAAAAUACUCAUCACAUAUUAUAUAGGUGAAAAGAAUACCGAAUUGAAGAAUCCAGAAGUCCACGAUGAAUUAAGAAACCUAUGCUCACUUGGUGGAGCGUGUGCUUGUAUAUACAUGACUUGGUGGAAAGUCGGGCUAAAAGAAAGGGUAGGUAGACUAAACGAGAAGGAAAGGUGUAAGGUCAUUAGUUUCAGAAUGAGAGCAAGGGGGGCGGACUUCAGGAAGGGGUAGUAAUAAUGAGAUGAGUAACUACUGGACUGAGGGCGAGGGGGAGUGAGAUCAAGGAUUGGCGUACUGGGAGUUAGGAGCGGGGCGGAGCGAUAACCAGGAAAGUAGGACUAAGAUAUAAAAUAAAGGAAAGCAAGGCAAAAGUGGGGAGGUCAGUUUGAAGAAUGCAAAAGUCAGAGUGAGUUUUUGUCCAUAGUUUGAUUCGUUAUGGGUGCCCCCGGUGCGCAUUCUUAUUAGUAGGUGUGCGAGAUCGUACCUUGAGUUAUAGGAUGCCAGGAGCUAGUAUAGGCCCAGGGCACCAGCGAAAGAGUCAAAGUAAGUAGUUUAGGUUUGAGCUCUCGGGGCGGAGGACAGGAGAACGGAUUGAAUAUAUAAUAUAUAUAGAUUGGAUCAGUAGGGUGACAUGACAGGAUCCGGAUCAAUUGCUGGAGAGUUAGAGUAAGGAAGGGUAGGCUUAUUAGCAGUUAGCAGCGGCAGGGCAGCUCUUCCUUAUAUUAAGUCCAGUUAUCAAGUGAGAAUGAAACUAAUUAGUGGGAAAGUAAUAAUGGAACUCACACCUUGGAAAGUGGGAAUUACAGAAUAAAACAAGCACUAGGCAAACAGAGGGAGCUGAUCUUAUAUAUGAAACAAUCACCAGAACUGGGCUAGGAAUUGACUGCGGGUAGGUUACAUGCGGGUGUGUGGGUGCGGCUAUGUAGCUUGCCGGAUAGCAAAUAGGUUCAUUCUAUUCCUCUUACUGCUACUACUUAGAUAAGCUUUUGAUCCUUCACUUGAAGACGACUUCUCGGUUGCUGCUGACUUCUUAAUCGAUUAACUGCUUCUUCGAGUCAACUACUUUAUACAUAUUGCUAUCAGGCAAGUAACUACUAAUGACCAAGCCACUACUAACGACCGCCAAGACACUACUAACGUGGCGCGGCAGUGAGUUUUAGGCGGCGAAAGACGGCCAAGUCACUGCUAAUGUGAUGCGGCAGCCAAUAAUAGUUAUGUAUUAGUUAUUACAAUCUAUGUUUUCAGCGGUAGGAGCCUGAGCUAAACGGUAGCGAGCGGGAAAGCGCCAGCGCUGUUUCACGGGAAAACGCACAAACAUCAUGAAAAUCAGGUGCCUCAGGAAGGGAAAUGACUCGGCUACCAGGCAAGGCCUAAAACACAACUAUAAUAAUAAACGAACAUAAACAGUUAUGUUUGCUCUCUUACUCCCUAUGCGUUCGGUGACGCGGCAGCGUUGUUGCACGGUAAAACGUGAAAAUCGAAUUUCUAUGGAUCGGUCUAGGAGGGAAACCUUGGUCGCUAUCAAAAAACACGGGAAAACGCCAAGAUCAGAUUUGGAAUUGGGCCUUUAGGAGGCAAAACUCCCUUGCAACAAAAAAAGACGGGUUUCGUGAAGUGGAAUUCUGUAUUUGUUUAGGUCGGGUCCGCAAGGUAAGAAAGAGAAUCAGAGGAUGUAGCUAGGCGAAAUUAGGACUUGGCGGACACCUGCCGCUACACAUUAGUAGUUACUUGCCGUGAUCAAAAUCUCUCUUCUUAUUAAGGAUUACAUUUAGGAGUCAACUAGGGAGUCACAGACUGAACCAGGGGAGCGACAGGCUUUAAGUAGUCUACUGAAGCUACUCAGACUGAUGUAAAGGAGUGAAAGAAUGAAUCCAGUGCUACCAGCAGCUAAGGUAUCUAACUACUAACUACGAGAACCAGUGAACCAAAGACAAGACUUAAAGCAGUGCCAACAGGAAUCAAACCGGUGAGUGACAGAAUCAACCCAGUAAACCCAAGAAUGCAACUAAGGAGUAUAAGAAUGGAGCUAAGUAGGCAAAGAGUGGAGCUAGGCAUAGUAAGACUGAUGCCAUGAAUAGAGCUAACUAAACUAAGAAUGUAACAGCGACAGCCGAGCCCGAAACCAGUGGGUAACAGCCUACCGAUCAGCAGGCAAAGAAUGGAAUGAGGAAUGCGCCUAAGUAGUGACAGCCUGAGACAAGGUAGUUACAGAAUAGACCUAGGGUGAGCAAGAGUGAAGCUAGCAAGUACGGGAAUGGAACUAACUCAUUAAAGAUUGAUACUGGUGUUGCUAAGGCUUCAACCAGUCAGUACGAGAACCAAACAAGAGAGUCCAAGCCUGAUACCAAUAACUACAAGCCUGAAACACCUAACUACAGGAACCAACCACUAACAACCAGAAUGCAAGAGCGGAGUGAGAGACUCAGAAUCAAACCCAUGAGUAGAAGCCUUAAAGCACUGAGUAUACGCUUGGCCCAGUUAGUAGAUCCCUUAUUCUUAUUAGUUGACAGAGCCGAGCAGAGCCAGAGUGGAAUUAAGAUCUAGUUGCCAGCUGCUUGUUGAGAUGAGCCAAAGGAUCGAGAUUUUUAUUAGUAUCGGGUUAAGAAUAGAACGAGUAAUUAAAGGAAGUAGUCCAGAGCAAUAACUGUAUUUGUUGACAGCAGGGUAGGCCAGGGAAGAAAGAUCACGAGUCGACGCACCAACACAAAUAAGUGGAAAAUCAGAAUCAAAGUAGUGACUUGGCUCGCAUCUAGUAUACGCUUGCCUCUGAGUUGAGAGUGGAAUGAUUUGUCGAGAGUGUCUUUGGAAUUAGUGGUGAGUUUAGACAGAAACCAGAACUGGAGUUGUUAGUUUACAGAGGAAAAGUAGAUGAGAAAGCUGCUCGGUAGUCAAUAUCAGAAUCCGGGGAUAGGAUCCAAUCCAACUAGUGAAAGAAAUGAAAGAAACUCGAAAAAAGAUAUCCUUGCUUAGCUCUGGCCCCUACUAUUUCUAUACUAAAUGUAGUAUUUCUCUUGUUAUCUUUCUCAUAUAAGAGAGAACUGAUUCCAUUCAACAAUAACAAGAGCAGAGGUGUUGCGGUAUGGGAGAGUAUCUAGUAUCACCCAUGUUUGUAGUAAAGGGGCCUUUCUAGUAAGUUGUGCCUAUUGCCCAUAAAACAAAUACUGAUGAACUUCCAGCUUCUAAGCCUCCAACAAAGCACUUAGCUUUGCAAGAUCUUGAUUCCGCUGAUUACAAAUAGCCAGUACUAGAUUAUUGCCCUGCGCCACCUUAACCCUACUUGCGAACUGAGUUGGACUGAAUUGAACUACUAUGUAAGGGAGAUAUCCUUUCCGCCUCCACUUUCUUUGGAACCAUCAAGAUAGGGGUAGAAAAUGCACUAUCACAGCGCUUAUGUUGUUUUAUGGCAAAUGACCCAUGUUGCCUCAGGAAAUGACCUUAGAGUGCUUUUUAGUCAUGAAAGAUAGCCGGAGAAGAACCAGUUCCAUUGCCCCUUAUUAUAUCUGCUCUGAACUUAUUAACUUCCAGUCUUGUUGAGGCGGGAAGUCUAGACUACUACUUGUUUGGGAUUCCACUCGCCAACCUACCCUGUGCUACCAUGAUACUUAACUGCUUCCUUAGGAGAGUCCAGUCCCUUAUUCUUAUUCGAGGGAUAGUUUACAGUGAAAGAAGAUAAGAAUUCAUAAUUGUUGACAGAGGUGGAGGUGUAUAGGUAAGGAAAGAAAGUUAGGGCAGUAAGCCUUGCCUGCGCUCUCAACUCUCAAGUCAUUAUGGAAUCUCUCUCUUUCACAUGUCAGAUAGGAAUGUCAGAAAGCAGCCCCUCUCGCUAACACAUUAAUCGAAUCUUGGACUUGCCUUGCUUUUAGGAGUGUAGUCGGCCAACACAGCUUCUUUUCCCGCUUCCUCACCUUCUCUUUAAACAGCUCUAACAGCUUACUUUAGAACUGCUUCCCCUUCUUUGGAAAUGGAUUCUUAUUCUCUUGUGGACAACACUGAUACGGAUUCAGAAAACAGGACUCGCUACAGGCCCAUUUAUUAAUUCCUAACGUACAAUGGGAGACAAAGAGGGGACUUGCUCUUAACUAACUGAUUUCUCUCUAUCGUCGCCAACAAUCAAAACUCUCCUUGAUGACUUAUAGACAAAAGCAACAGGAUCACCUGAAACUCUCACUUCUUAUUCUUUAUACCUAACCUCUCCUUUUAGUGUAAGUGAAUAAAAGAAUCUAUGACUGGUUUGGUUCUCGUACUGACUGGUUUAAGCCUUAGCAACAGUGGUUAGAGACCUUAGCGACCGAUACCCAUACUAGCUCUACCCUUAGCUACAUUCUGAGUAGCCCUUGGUUGAGUCUUACCUGUUGUAGUUGAAGUCUGAUCGGAGUGAGUUUGGUUCUGAGUAGCCCUUGGUUGAGUCUAGCUCCCCUUGCUUUAAGUCUAAUUGGGGUGAGUUGAAUUCUAGUUGUUAGUGCUAUCAGUCCCAUUGGCUCGCAUAUGAGUUAAGACUGUGACUUAUGAGUUUGAUUCUGAAACUAGCUGCAGGGAAUUGGUGGUCAAGAGAGAACCCAGUGGAAUCCUAUUUCCUUAAUAAAGAGAAUAUAGCAUCCAGUAGACUUUCCUAUACUAAGUAAGUACUGAGUCAAUGGAACUCAAAUCUCUCUUUGUUUCUUCUUUGUUUCUAUAUUCCUAAGGUGUUAAGUCUACUCUACCACUCUAUUUCUACCACUCUAUUCUUUAGUAAAGGACCGGUAAGUCAACUCAGUUCCCUUUCCCUAACUAGCAAGUAAGUAAACUAAGUCAGUAACCCAGCCUCAAAAGUCAGUCCACCACCCCACCCAGUCAGUACCAGCCUAUAACUCACAAGAUGGUGUGAAAGCCAACAAAUAAGGACAGGGAACUUUCGCCAACAAACAUGGAUUGAACUCAUGAACUUUCUUAACAUUAGUAGAGAUCAAUCUGGUCUUACAAGAGAAGCAAGAGAAGUAAAAGAUAUUCUCAGCCCCUACCCACACCCCAACUAGUAAGUAACUGAGACUACCCGAGCCUAGCCCCCCAUAAAGCCUGUCACUACUUAGGUCAAUUCUGAACUUCACUUCUGUCACUGUCAACAACCCUCGCUACCAAUAGGGAUAGUCCCCUUUCUUUCGUUUCAUGAUUUGUUUCAAGUUGAGUUCCUGUCAGGGAAGGAUAUAGUACUGGUGUAGCUGUUAAAGAAAGAUAAGAAUCCUGUACUUAUGAAGCAAGGUGUCAUAGAGUAUUGCCUGUUCCUGUUGUUGUUAGAGUGGAAUUAAGAGUUGCUAGCGCUUCUAAGCCAACAAAGAUCUAUGACCUAGCAUCAAAGCCACCGAAAAAGGACUUCUAAUUUGAAGAAACACGGGAAACAGCGCUGGCGCGUAACAUUAGUAGUUACUUGCCGGAUAGCCAUAUGUACUAGUCCUUCUUAUUCUUCUGGCUCUGGCUCAUCUACUUCUGUCAACUAGCCCAGUUUUCGUUCCUUUCUUUUCCAGUUAUUAUGUACUCAUGUUUUUUACUUCAAUUAACAUAUUUUGCCUUACUUGUUAUGCGUUGUACUAUUGGGUACAGGACUCACCAAUAACUUACCAAUAACUCACCAAUAACUCAUACUAACUCUGUAAGCGCAACUUGAAUUAGUAGUUGCCUAGACCUGCUUCUUAAGCUUCUUCUUCCUCCGGAACUGGUAUUCAAUAAGAGAGAGUACACACCGCUACCCUUCCUUAUAGCUUUCACCGCUACGUGGGCAUUCUUAUAGAGAGAAGAACUGGAUCAAGAUUGGAUGCUGGAUCAGCAGCAAGCGGGAAAGGUUGAGUUUAAAGAGCUGUUUCGCUGGAUCUGUUGCCCCUGACUAACGCCCAAAACAGGACUUGCGCCAACCUUUAAUAUAUUAGUUCAGGAGUAGAACCACUUGCAGCAUUAGCAACUGACUCCUUACUAGGACUAGACUCUUACUUCGAUGAAACAAGAAGACCUGAUAUCAAGUUCUAGGCUUUCCCACCGGAACCAGAUUGAGAGUGCUUUCCUGGAGACUUUACUGCUGAUGAAGAUCUUUCUUUCCACAAACACAGAGCAAGUAGGCAAGGAGGCAAAGGCACAGAAGGGUAACUAAACAAAUUGUCCAACAAGCUACCCCUUAUAGUACAAUAAAGAAUAAUUUCAUUUCAUUUGUUUACUACGAUAUAGGAGCCUGAGCUAGAUGAGCCUCAUUCAGUUAGAUUGGAUAUUAUGACUUGCUUCGGUAUCAAAAAUAAGAUAGAAUUAAUGAUGAAACUUUACCUCGAACAGGACUACCGGUCUGAAGACUCUAACCAUUCACUUAAGGGCUGCUUGAAACUUAUGAUCUUUGAACUCAGGCGCAUCCACUGGCCUCUCUCUUUUCUUUAGAAAUCAAUUAAUAGCUUCCCGACCUCUACUCUGGACUAGCUUGCCCCCGAGACUUAUUAUAUAGGCCCGACCUCUAUACCACUACUAAGAAGAAUAAGGGAUCUACUAACAGGUCUUACACUCUAACCAUGAACUUCAGGGCAGCUUGAAACUUAUGCUCUGUGAACUCUGUCUCCUCCACUUCUGGCUCUCCUCUCACUCAGGCUCAGAUCAUCUCUUCUCACUCUGUCUACUUGCCUCUGAUAGCAAUUCUGAACUGAAGUACUUAUAGCUUAGCUUCCCAACUGAUUAUAAGGGCCUCCUAUAACUAUGGCACCACUACUUAAAGGGUUAGACUUUAGACCCGGCAAGCUACUACAGGCACUUACUUAUUUCACCCACUUUCCAACCUUAGUUUCAUUCUCACUUUCCUACUUAUUAGCUUCAUUCUUCAAUUCCAACUAGCAACUACUCGGUAUUCCACUAGUCUAAAUGCAGGCCUAGUAACUUACUUCCUAGCCGAGUAACUGACUUAGGGCAAUCGGUUGACUCGUUCCAUUCCGAUACUGACUACUUUCAGUCUGAGUCUACGGAGUGGAAUUCUUUCAUUCCGACUUCUGAGCUUGAGUCUGUUGGUGCAGUGUUUGAUUCUCGCUACCCUCGCUUUCAGGCUGUCACUCCCUUGUUUGAUCAGUUAUCCUAUAUUAAGAAGAGAGAUUUGGAUAUAGCUUUUCCCCUACUAUUUUCUACUGUGUUGGUACAUGAUAAAUAAGAGUCGUUUUCUGGUUGAUUUUGGAUUUGAUCAUUUGUGAUUGGAUUGUUUUUUCUUCCAAGUCAGUAAACAAAACCACUGAAGCCCAUCCUCUUCUUGGACACCGAACCUAUAUUGAAGUUGAACUAGACUUAUUUCUUGUCAUAUGAGCAAUUCUAACCUUACCGGAUCCGUACUUUUACCACCUGGGGCCCGGCAUCAGAUCUUACCGAACACACACAGGACUUCCCUCGUUCUCAACCUCGUACGCUUCCACUUUCUCUUUAAUAAGAAGAGUGAUUUGGAUAGUGCUUUUGGCUACUGUGUGCGUACUGUGCUAGUAUAGGAAAAAGACGAGUGGUUUUUCACCGCCAAGCAACUACUAAUGUGUAGCGGCAGUGAGCUACCCCCGACUAUGUCUGUACUGAGUAUGUAUAUGAGAAAUCGAACUACUUUUCUGAUUUAUUUGUGAUUUGAGAAAUUGAUUCAUUUGAUUACAAUACCCUAGCCCGACCCUACCUAGUAUGUCUAGUCCACCCCACAAAGUAAGUAAACAAGUCAUUCCACAAUCCCAGCUGCUGGCAACCUCUUCUAACCUUGUUUCGACCAUUCUAUUUCUUAUUCGCCCAGUAGUUAGUUGGUUCAGUGCCACUGUAGCUCCUUCCCUUGUAGACCCUGCUGGCAACUAGAAUACCUGGCUAAUUCUUAUGUUUCUAACCUGGGAUCAAUAGUACUUCUAGCUUCCUCGCCUCCUACUAAGUUCAGUGUUCGCCUUUACUCAUACCCUAAUAAGAGGAGAAUAAAUACCUUUUCUACUAGCCUUGCCCCUAUCCCUCUGAUCUUGCCUCAGAUCUUGCUCUUAACCAACCCGAGUUAUCGUUCUCUUUCCUUUAUUUAAGUUAACCCCUAACCCACAUCUUUUGUUUGAGCACCCGAACCGAACUCUCUGAUCCUGGCUCAGAUCCAGCUCCUGUUCUUGUUAGAGUGGAACAGUAGUUAUAAAGUAAGUAGUCGAGAAGAGUACAGAGCCAUAGUUUAGGUCGGCAGCCAAUCAGAAAGAACAAUUCCGGGGCUCCCAAAAACAGGACUUGGUUAUGACUUUUCUGCUUUAUUUGUGAUUUGUGAUUGGAUUGUUUUUCUCAGAUCUUUGAUUCCAAUAUUGGUGUCUUGGCUCUUACCGAUGAGUGAACCUCUAUACUAGACCUGUCCUCUUUCUAUACAAAUACAGAUGAAACACAGAAUUCCACUCACACUCGAACAGGGGCAAGCGUAUACUCGGUGCUUUAAGUCUAUAACUACCUGAGUUCAGUCCGAUAUCCUAGGCAACAGUCUCAUACUAGCUACCACUGAUUUGAUUCUUAGAUUGCUUAGGGACAUUCCGAUACUUCUUAGGGACAUUCCGAUACUGCUUAGUUCCAUGCUGUUACUGCCAAGGUUCAUUCCCUCACUGCUUUGUUUCAGUCACCAAGCUACUACUACAAACGCAUAGCAAGUACAGAACUCAUAUAACAUGUCUUAAUUUGUUAUUCCCAAGUCCUGUAUUCAAGGCGGUAGAGAACCCUUGCACUGGUUGGAUUCUUAGUUGCAUUCUGUAACCCUAACCUAGCUGCUUGGCCUGUAACUACCUAAGUCAAUUCUGAGUCAGUGGGUAAUGGGUGUACCUCGGAGAAUAGCUACCUUUACUAGUUCUUCUACUUACUGGUGAGCAAGAGCACCCCUGAGUUUCAGUCUGACUUCCUACCUACGAGGUUCAUUCUGACUAUCGAGCACCCGGCUUAUGACCGAAAUCAGUCAAAGAAAUCAGUAGCAUCAGUAACAUUAGUAACAUGGCAAGCAACUACCCGGAACCAUCCUUUCAGAAGCACCCAAAGAUACUGGUUCAUUUGUUUAUUUCUAUCUUUAUCACAUCACUGGAGUGGAGCUGGACUAUCCUUCUGCCCUAUUAUUAAGUACGCAGCUUCCCUUUUGCUUACUUAGCUGUUUCACUCUUUGUUAAAUGUAACGGAAGUCUUUAUUCUAAGUGUAGCAGCAAUCGGGUCUUCCAGUCCUGGAGGAAGUAUAGAGGACCUUAUAGUCAGUUUGUUUGACUUUCACAACUUAUUAUUUAGGGCUUUGUUGGACACUCGCCAGCUCUUGUGUUACUCGUAUUUUCCUAUAUGAGGAGAGUCAAAAUGAGACUAUGUUUCCCCCACUGUGUAUGUAGUGUGUUAGUAUAUGAUAAAGAUCUCUAGGUUUCUGCAACUAGCGGCACUGCCGCGUAACAUUAGUAGUUACUUGGCUCUCAUUUCUUUGAUUUGAUGGUUGGAUACCUACAUUCUUCCCACUCCGAUCCUAACACUAAGGCUCACACAGGACUUCCCUCUUUCGAAACCUCUGGGGAAAACUCCAAAGUGGGCGCAGAGAAAGAGAAAGGCUUCUUACCUGUUACACACUUCUGCCGGAUGGGAACUCCCCGAGUGGUAUGAUCUUACUUACCUGUGGCCCAGUUCAGUCUGCUUCAGAGUUCGGGAAAGUCGCAAGCCUACUGUCAUUAACCAACACUCAGUUAAAGCUUACAGGUACUGGCAAUAAUCUGCUCAUCGGUUGGGAAAAGUUUGGGCCCGGGAGCCGGAUCGAGAUCUCAGAAAAGAAGCAUUGGUUCCGGUCAGUAUUCCGACUUCUCCCAAUCCCACGCAUCUCUUCUUCAUGUAAUCCAGAAUCAUUAGAAUCUCUAUCAUAAUAAAUCCCAGCUAUCAUUCAAAUCUAUCAUAAUAAAUCCCAGCUUGGUAAAUCACUACACUGCUCAGCGCCCAGAAAUCUCCUUUCCGUUUCGGAUUUCCUUUCUUUCUUUCUUAUGAGACCCGACCCUUCCGGCAAACUAGAAUUACAGAAUUGAGGUAGGCUUACUGACUCCUACUAACAGACUAGGGGCUGACUCUCUAGUCUCUCGGUCAAUCGGUGGUCUAGUAACUGACUUCAACAACUACCCUCGCAUCAAACAAAGCCUUGACUUUAUUCAUUUCCAACCGAAGUAAACAAAUACUUCUUGAAACAAGAACAGAAGCAGUACUACAUUCCACUGGGGAUGCAACUGGAGUUGGGCUACUACUACCUGGACUACCUGGCUUCAACCAGAACAGUACUACCGGGAUGGGAUUAAACUCUCACUCGAACAGGCACAGGAGAAGGUAUCAAACCAAACGACUUAUAUAUCUCUGACUUUCCUACUUGUCUGCUUUCUAUCUAUCUUUACUUACGAAAUCCUACCGAACUUGUCAUUUAUUGUCUUCAACUUACUAUAGAGGCCUCUACAUUCCUUAGGUACUCCAAAUAACAUAUAAUAUCAGAAUGAAUACCAUCUCUUGCCUCUCCUCUGUCAACUCAUACUGUUAUUGCUCUGGACUCUGGACUACAAUACUGGUUGGGGCAAUUGACUUUCAUAGCUUCCCGACCCGACCUCCAUAACUGCUUCCCUUGAAGACCCGACCUCGACUCUUAGACUUGAACUACCUAGGUUGAUUCUGAGUCGUACCUACUCCGGUUGGAUUCUGUGACUCCAGGGGAUCUCUCUGAUCUACUACCCUAUAAAGCAAGCACUGGUUGAAGUCUUAGCAGCAGUUGGUUUCAGGCUUGCACUCCUUGGUUCGAUUCUAUCCCUCCGGAGGUCCAUUCCGAGCCUACCCGGUUUCAGCCAACAAGCAACUACUAGUUUCAGGGUAAAACUAUACCUAUACUCCUGCUACUAGCUAAUCUCUAUCCCAACUUCAAUCUAGGGGCGAAAAAUUCCAUUCUUCUUUCUUUUAUACAGCACCAAACUAAACUACCCUUGAAGACCAGAAACAGACUCUAGAGGCGAGGGAAAGUAUCGGCUUUGAGGCGAGGUCUAGGUCAACUAUUUCACUUGCACCGAGUCAACCAGCAAAGGAAUGCUUCUUUCGAGCACAGAGUCAACGAAGAAUUCCAAUAAGAGAUUGAACUCACCGCUUUCAGGCUUGGAUUCACUGCUUUCGGUCUGUCACUGCCAAGGUUCACUCUGCUACUUUUGAGUUUGAUUCUUCGAUUCACUGGUUGUUUGAUGCUGAGUCUACGGAGUGGGAUUCUUGACUUCACUAACGGAUGCGGGCAAUCGGUAGGCUUACUUCUCACUUAGGGCUUACUACUAACUAGGUGAAUUCUUGCUGGCACUGGUUUGGUUCUUAGAUGCAGUGGUUGAGGCCUGAGAUGCACUGGUUCGAUUCUUGCUAGCAGUGGUUCUAUUCUUUGACUCCCCGGCUGCACUCUUGCUGGCACCGGUCGAAGUCUUCCGCUCCCUUGGUUCAUUCCGAUAGUUGCUAGGUCAAUUCUGCUCGGUGUUGGUAUCAGUCUUUGAAUGCAGUGUUUGAGUCUCUGUCCGAUGAGGUCAAUUCUGAUCGCCGUGUUAGAUGCAACAGCCAAGCCCAUUCCGGUUUCCUAUAUAAAGAGAGUGCAAAUUAUCUACUCUUUUUCUCUUCCUAACUAGUACAGAAAAGGUACUGGAAAAAUGCAAGCGGAACAUGAGCGGCCCUGCCGCGACACAUUAGCAGUGUCUUGGCUCUAUGAGACAAGCUAAUCUGACGGUGUUAAGUAAACUCUAUUCUCUACCUUUCUUACCUACUACCUUGCCCAUGGAAUAAAACAAGUCAUUCAACAAUCCCAGCUGCUGGCGUAAGAGCACAUAGCAAGUAUCUCCGCCCCUAACUAUAAUAAGUGUUCACCCCUGACCCUACCUCUAAUAAGUGCCCGACUAGACCUUUGUAAUAGCAUUCCAAAAAGCACCUAACAAGCAAGCUAAGUAAACGACACUACCCGAGUAAGUCAACCCUUAACUAGGCAAAGCGGGACCUCUAUCCGACACAAGACAAGAAGAACAGAAAUCCACUUUUUACCAAUAACUAUAUCAUUGCUGAACCGACAACAAAGACAGAUGCAACAGGACCACUACCCUUAAGCCAACACCGAUUACCUACUUCCUUUCGGUAUUAAACAUAAACAAGAACAGGAGCGGACCCACUUACUACAGGCUCGACUCUGUCAACUAAGUCAGUAAACCUACCCGCCAAGACACCACUAGAAAUCCUUUGUUUGGGCACCCGACCUCUCUACUUCUCCUAAUCUGAAUGAAACUCACUCCUUACUCAGGUAUCAAGUAUUUAAUAUAACUCAAUACUGGAGUCAGAAUAAAGUCCGGGUACUCAAGAACAGGUUAUGACCGAGCUACUACUACUGGACUGGACUAAAAUCUAACUCGGGCUACUCAUACUGAUUCUACUACUUGUCCACUACUACUACAAAUAAAGAUGUGAAACUAGACUACUACUUGGACCACUACGCCUACUUCUUGAAACAAGCCAAAGGGACAAGUCACUUCUCCUUAAUCUACCUUUACCUGCAACUCUGGCUCUACCUAGCAACUAACUACGUCUAGAGCUCCUUUAGCGCAACUAACGACUAAGCUUUGCCCUUCCCACACCAAAACCAGACUUGAGAUCAGUAGUUUUAUACCAGAAUUAGGACUUGCUCUUGGAUACUGAACUUGCUCCUGACUCCUUACUUCUAACUCAUAACUAGUAACUGACUUCAACAAGCCCUACUCCCUUGUAUUGGAAUCAAACAAGUAAGUCAACCUGCCAAGCAGCUGGAAACUAGACCUCCCCUCUGUAAACUAAUUCUGGAAUUCUACCUUAGGCUCGGCUCUGUCAACUACCGACUUAAUAUAAGGGCCUCUACUCUUUAUUAAGGAUUCUACCUUUCCCACUAAAUCCUCUUUAGCUAGUGUUCCCUCAACCAAUUCCAUUUCCACUCCCUAGGUUGAUUCCGGUUUCCUUAAUAAAGAGAGUCUAAGUGAUCCUAUGUUUUCUUAUACGGAGUUUCUACUGAGUUAGUAUAUGAUAAAGAUCUCGACUUUUCUGCUUUUUUUUGCAUUUGAUCAUUUCUUGUUUUCGAUUGUUUUCUCCCAUCAUUCUUCUCCUAUAACUCCAAAUCAAGUCUUAUACUGGAUGCGCUCGUCUACAACACCUCAGAUGGAUAUGAAAUUAUGAUUUGCUGAAUUCUUAUCCUAGUCAAGUCAACUCACAACUCCUCUUGAAACUUUACCUCGGCAAAACUAUCACUCGAACAGGAUCGGUAUGCUACUAUAACUCCCGGCUCAUCCAACUCAGGCAACUAUCCCUCUACUCUUAUCUUAGUUCUAUACAAACCUAUGAACAGGACCGGACCCAUACUUGAAGGGUGAGACUUGAUACCAUAAUUUCUAUACACUAAAAUAGCUGUAUUUCAAAUAAGUAUCAGUUUUUAAUGUGAUUUCCCAUUCCACUAAGAAACAGUCCAACGAAUGCAUUUCUUCCUAACAUCUUGAGGGUUCAGUUGCUCAAAUACCCGACCCGACUCCGGAAAGCCAAGAAACUCCACUUCCAUUUCUGCACUCGUACUAUCUCCCGAUGAACAAAGGACUUGCUUCAGGCCUACUUAUUAAUUCACUUAUUAAUUCAAGGAGUCAGAGUGAAAAGAGCAUAAGUGGAAGUCCAAGAACAGGUAGAAUACCACAAGAACAGGCAAUUAAGUUACUGACUUUGGAACUAAUGGAAGCACUAACUGAGGGAAAAGAGACUGCCCUUUACUAUUCAUUCAAUUUGAAGAAUCCAUUCCAUGCUUUGAAGCGGUAAGUGAGUUAAGGCUUAUACUCGCUAGUUCCAUUCUGAGUUGAACUAGUUUGAUUCUUGUUGUUAAUGCUUUCAGGCUUGUUGCUGAGUGUUUCGGGCUUGUUAGCACAUGUUGGUGCCUUGUUGUUACUGUAUAAAGUCCGGUAGUUAUGAGUUGUUGUCUUGCUAUCACUGGUUGUAGUCUCAGUAGCAGUGGUUGCAUUCUUAGACUCCUGAGGUCAAUUCUGUAACACUCCAGACACUCACUGCUUGGCCUUGGACUCCUGAGUGCAAUUCUUAGUGCUAUACCCGCAAGCCCUUAGUGGUUGAAUUCUUUGACGAGUGAGUUGAAGACCAGCUUCCCCUACUACUGUUCCAUUCUUGUUGUUAGUGCUUUCACAGGCUUGUUGCUGGGUGUUGAAGUCCUGUUAGCACUUGUUGGUGUCUGGUAUUGAUUGACUGGUUUCACUCUUUCACUCGCUGGUUUCAUCCUUAUUUGUAGUGGUUGCAUUCUGAGCCUAGUAAUUGGCAGUAGUAGCUUGUCCCUACCUCUUUUCCAGUGUUACUUCUGUCAUUCUUUAUUUACUGGUUUCAUUCUUAGUCUACUACUGGUUCUCUUUCUUUCCUUACCUAGCAACGACUCCCCAUUAGACCAUUAGAAGUGCAGGUCACCAAAGACGGAUGAAACUUCCACAAGGUCUUCCACUCUAACUCUAACAGGAUCGGUAUGAAACUAGAGCCGAAGCCGGAAGUAGCUCUUUACCCUAGCUCCAAAGCUCAACUCAACGUCGCAAGCCUCACGCUGGCUUGCCCGGACCUUGCUUGCCAUGAUAACUGCUUCCCUUUCUUUACUUAACUGCUUCCCUUGAUGGUUCACUAGUCUCUCUCCUACUAACAGACUCCUAGUAACAGACUUAGGGCUGACUCCUUACUACUGACUUCUGGGGGCAAUGGGUGGGAAUGUAGCUACUGGCUUUAAGGCUUCUCUUUGACUCACUUGUUUCAGGCUUAGUCCUGUAGUUGAUAGUACUGCUUGGUGGACUUGGUAAUAGCCUAAUUAACAUAUAACAUAUAUUAAUGGAGUUUCUUGCUUUCGUUGCCUUUGUAGGCUUGGCGAACACAGGACUUGUUCUUAACUAGUUAUAACUUCCUAUUUCAUAGCUGCCGCACAACGUCUUACUUAGUUGUUUGCCGUCUUGGCCAGAUCUUUUCUUUUCUGGUUUAUUUAUGAUUUGUGAUUUCUUUUCACGAGCCUAACAAGCAAGUCAGUAAGUCUUCCCCGAACUCCUCUCUGCUAACUGAAUGAGGCUCAGUACAAUAGGUAACAUCUCUUUCUUCAACACCCUACCCGACCCCAAGAGUAAGAGCACCCCCAAGAGUCUAUCCCGACCCCAAGAGUCUAUCCCGACCUCCAAUAGACCCGAGCUCUGGCAACAAGUCCUAAUUCCGCCAAGUCCUAAUUCCGCCAAGUCCUUAAUCCAGCAUGGCGGUAGCGCUGUUCUCUGCCUGUGAGAGUUAAGUCUGCGAGAUCUGUUAUUGGAGACUGGAAUCCUAUCUCUAUCUCUGGCUCUCAUCGAAUCUAACUGAAUGAGGCUCCUAUCUCUAUCAUAUAAUACUAGUAUUUGUAGCCUGAGUUAGUGUAACCUUAGAGAGUUUUGUAGAGCUAGCAGACAGAGUGUCUUGGCCUGUAUUUCUUGUUUCAAUAAGUAUUUGUUUAUUUGUUUACAGAGUUAGAUGAGCCGGGGGUGAGCUCGGUGUUGGCGAGACCAGAGAUAUAAGUUAUUGUGUUAGAGUAUCCUUCUGAAUAAGUGACUUGGCUACUAAGAAUCAGAGUAAGAGGUUUUAGACUCAGAGUCAGAGGUGAGUUGGUAAUCUGAUAGACUCACUUCUGGUUUUCUCGGUGCAAGACAAGUUCAAUGACUGUUUUCCUAUGUGCUAAAUUCUUUCUUUGUGGACUUGCGACGAUCGAAAGAACUGUAGAUGAUUGUCGUACUAAUGCUUACUGAUUGGGGUAAGGCGCGUAGUUAGGAGAAAGUUCCAUUGCACUUGCCUCUUCUGCUGACUCACCACUUUCAGAACUCAUUGAUGCUGCUUCACCCGUAACUAGAUUGACUUCUAGCCCUUGCUUGUUUUAGUGCUGUCGUAAAGGGUAUACCCCAGUUCUGGUCUCUGGGAGUGAGGUGAGGGCGUUGCUUUUUCUGUUACAUAAUAUCAUUAUUAUUGAAUACAAGUGGAGUGACAGUUCUAGUGUUUGUUGUCGACGAGACGAGAUCCGUUCUUGGCUUGACUUGACGUCUAAGUCUGGGUUCGGUACUUGGCUCAAGUAAGGAAAUAUUGUUUCUGUUCUCAUGUAUAGUUCUGGUAAAUAAUAAGAAAUAUAUAUAUAGUACAGGUACAGGCGUAGCAGUGUUGUGAAGGGCGGAAUCGAGUACUAGCAGUGUAGUUAAGGGCAGAGUAUAGUACUGGUGUGCAAACGGUAAAUGAAUCCAAUUCCGUACUUCUAUGUGAUCAAGCAACAGUCCUGUCCUGAGUAGUAACUAAAGAAUAAGUUGUUCGAGCAAAGGAUACAAGAGAAUCAGCCGAAGCAUAAUCUGGAUCUGAACUUCCAGUAUUGUUUGGGGCAGAUCGGCAGCUGACUUUCUUUCCACAGCACCUUAGCCUUAGCACCCGACUUGAACUCAAAAGUGAGAAUUUCCCCGGAAGGGAAUAAGCUCCAGACUGGGAUUAGGGGUUCGCUCCGUAUGGUAGAAAAAGGUCACUCACCUAGGGUAGGGCUACUUCUCGCAUACCUAGUCCUAAUUAAGUGUAGCAUUCAAAUCCAGGUGUAUCGUCAUAUGGUAAAGAAGAGGAUCAAGUCAGUGCUAAAGGAAUCUAAGCAGCGUACCCAAUUGAAUAUCGUAUAGAGUAUAGAAGGCUAAUAAAGAAACUGCUUCCCUUUCUUUGGAAUCUGACUGGUCUGGUUUCCUCGCGGGUUCCCUUGCUUCUUCAGCUGUGGAUCCAGCUACUGCAGCAAUCUAUUGACCCAACACGGAGCUCUGUUGCAAGAACUACACUUUCAACAAAGAAUUCCGGAAAUGGCCAAUUCAGUUAGCGCAGUCAAUACAGACGAACACCUUCCUUGUGCGAAAGCCGUUGUUACUUGUUCCCUUGACUAGAGUAUCGGAUUGACUCACCCCUUUCCAACUUGAAUAGACUGACCUUGACUAGAGUAUCGGAUUGACUCACCCCUUUCCAACUUGAAUAGACUGACUCAGGACCUGGAAUCUAUAAGCUAGGCGCCUCCCCUACCCCGGUAAUUGAACUUGUCAAAAGAGUUGAUGGCUCCUGAAGCGCUAAGUGGUCCAGUCCAGACUUAUAUACGAGCUUACUACUCUUGAACUGAAUUCUCACACGUUACGCGGAUCUUUCCUUGACUUCUUCUGGGCUUGCUUCUUCAGUGCUAAGUCAAUCAGUGUCAUAAUAGAGAAAAGAGAAAAAAGUAAUUAGACAUAGGUUAAGCAGUAUCAAGUAAGCAAACAACAAGCGGGAAAGAUGUAGUUCGGGCAAUCAGAUCUUCUAGACCAACUUAUGCUUCCGCGUAAGGAAAUAUACCAGUUUGCUGUCUCGGUGCGUAAGGCGUUGGGCUGUAACCUCUAUUUCCGUAUUUCAGGUAUCCAACCUAACCUCUAUUUCCGAUCGUUUAACCUAUGGGAAACUACUCUUAUGGAAAAUCUAUCAUGGAAGACCCGAUCACCAGCUACAAAUGCAUUGACGCCUAUAACAUCUUAUUUGUUCUUAGUCACUCUCAAGGACAGGACCUCCUUACUGAGUUAGAUGCGCUUAGGUUCCUUAUUGGUUUUGUUGGCGCAAGAAGAAGGAUCAGAGUUCAAAGAAGGAGAUCAAAUCAGAGAGAUGCCCUGACAAGCUAAAAAGAUUCGCGCGCUUAAGGGGCACAGUUAUAUUGAAAUGAACUUAAGGGGCACAGUUAUAUUGAAAUGCAGAAUUCAGGUUUGUUUGCGAGAUAUCAAUUCCUAUGUUAGAUAUCAAUUCCUAUGUUAAUAGAGCAUCCGUGAAAGAUCAAAUGCAUUCCGUGUUUUCCUAGGCGCAUUAGGAAAG